GACGAACGCUGGCGGCGUGCUUAACACAUGCAAGUCGAACGGGGUGCUCGUUGGUGGCAACACCUUCGAGUACCUAGUGGCGAACGGGUGAGGAACACGUGAGCAACCCACCCCGGACUCUGGGAUAACAGCGGGAAACCGCUGCUAAUACCGGAUACCUUCCUUCCAUCGCAUGGUGGAACGAAGAAAGGGUUACUGGUUCGGGACGGGCUCGCGGCCUAUAAGCUGGUUGAUGGGGGAAUGGCCUACCAAGGCUUGGACGGGUAGCUGGUCUGAGAGGAUGAUCAGCCACACUGGGACUGAGACACGGCCCAGACUCCUACGGGAGGCAGCAGUGGGGAAUCUUGCGCAAUGGGCGAAAGCCUGACGCAGCAACGCCGCGUGCGGGAUGACGGCCCUCGGGUUGUAAACCGCUUUCAGCAGGAACGAAUCUGACGGUACCUGCAGAAGAAGGUCCGGCCAACGACGGGCCAGCCGCCGCCGUAAAAC
rnacentral:rRNA from 1 species